UAGCGGCAGGCCUAACACAUGCAAGCCGAGGGGUAAGUCUCUUUCGGGAGAACACGACGGCGCACGGGUGAGUAACGCGUAUGCAACCUACCUUUGGCACGGGGACAGGCCGGGGAAACCCGGAUUAAUACCCGGUAUAGUCUGUUAUACACCUGUAUAAAAGACGAGAGCUACGGCGGCCAAAGAUGGGCAUGCGUGCCAUUAGUUAGUUGGUAGGGUAACGGCCUACCAAGGCAUCGAUGGCUACGGGGUCUAAAAGGAUGAGCCCGCACACUGGUACUGAGACACGGACCAGACUCCUACGGGAGGCAGCAGUGAGGAAUAUUGGUCAAUGGGUGGAAGCCUGAACCAGCCAUGCCGCGUGCAGGAAGACGGCCUUAUGGGUUGUAAACUGCUUUUCUACGGGACGAACGGCUCUGACGUGUCAGAGAUUGACGGUACCGUAGGAAUAAGCAUCGGCUAACUCCGUGCCAGCAGCCGCGGUAAUACGGAGGAUGCGAGCGUUAUCCGGAUUUAUUAGGUUUAAAGGGUGCGUAGGCUGGGCAAUAAGUCAGUGGUGAAAGUCCGCGGCUCAACCGUGGGAUUGCCAUUGAAACUGUUGUUCUUGAGUACAGUCGAGGUAGGCGGAAUGUGUAAUGUAGCGGUGAAAUGCAUAGAUAUUACCCAGAACACCGAUUGCGUAGGCAGCUUACCAGCCUGGAACUGACGCUGAUGCACGAAAGCGUGGGGAGCGAACAGGAUUAGAUACCCUGGUAGUCCACGCCGUAAACGAUGAUCACUCGCUGUUGGCAAUAUAGAGUCAGCGGCUGAGCGAAAGCAUUAAGUGAUCCACCUGGGGAGUACGUCGGCAACGGAUGAAACGUCCAAAGGAAUUGACGGGGGCCCGCACAAGCCGGUGGAAACAUGUGGUUUA
rnacentral:rRNA from 1 species